AUACAUGCAAGUUGAGCGCUGAAGGUUGGUACUUGUACCAACUGGAUGAGCAGCGAACGGGUGAGUAACGCGUGGGGAAUCUGCCUUUGAGCGGGGGACAACAUUUGGAAACGAAUGCUAAUACCGCAUAAAAACUUUAAACACAAGUUUUAAGUUUGAAAGAUGCAAUUGCAUCACUCAAAGAUGAUCCCGCGUUGUAUUAGCUAGUUGGUGAGGUAAAGGCUCACCAAGGCGAUGAUACAUAGCCGACCUGAGAGGGUGAUCGGCCACAUUGGGACUGAGACACGGCCCAAACUCCUACGGGAGGCAGCAGUAGGGAAUCUUCGGCAAUGGACGAAAGUCUGACCGAGCAACGCCGCGUGAGUGAAGAAGGUUUUCGGAUCGUAAAACUCUGUUGGUAGAGAAGAACGUUGGUGAGAGUGGAAAGCUCAUCAAGUGACGGUAACUACCCAGAAAGGGACGGCUAACUACGUGCCAGCAGCCGCGGUAAUACGUAGGUCCCGAGCGUUGUCCGGAUUUAUUGGGCGUAAAGCGAGCGCAGGUGGUUUAUUAAGUCUGGUGUAAAAGGCAGUGGCUCAACCAUUGUAUGCAUUGGAAACUGGUAGACUUGAGUGCAGGAGAGGAGAGUGGAAUUCCAUGUGUAGCGGUGAAAUGCGUAGAUAUAUGGAGGAACACCGGUGGCGAAAGCGGCUCUCUGGCCUGUAACUGACACUGAGCUCGAAAGCGUGGGGAGCAACAGGAUUAGAUACCCUGGUAGUCCACGCCGUAAACGAUGAGUGCUAGAUGUAGGGAGCUAUAAGUUCUCUGUAUCGCAGCUAACGCAAUAAGCACUCCGCCUGGGGAGUACGACCGCAAGGUUGAAACUCAAAGGAAUUGACGGGGGCCCGCACAAGCGGUGGAGCAUGUGGUUUAAUUCGAAGCAACGCGAAGAACCUUACCAGGUCUUGACAUACUCGUGCUAUUCCUAGAGAUAGGAAGUUCCUUCGGGACACGGGAUACAGGUGGUGCAUGGUUGUCGUCAGCUCGUGUCGUGAGAUGUUGGGUUAAGUCCCGCAACGAGCGCAACCCCUAUUGUUAGUUGCCAUCAUUAAGUUGGGCACUCUAACGAGACUGCCGGUGAUAAACCGGAGGAAGGUGGGGAUGACGUCAAAUCAUCAUGCCCCUUAUGACCUGGGCUACACACGUGCUACAAUGGAUGGUACAACGAGUCGCGAGACAGUGAUGUUUAGCUAAUCUCUUAAAACCAUUCUCAGUUCGGAUUGUAGGCUGCAACUCGCCUACAUGAAGUCGGAAUCGCUAGUAAUCGCGGAUCAGCACGCCGCGGUGAAUACGUUCCCGGGCCUUGUACACACCGCCCGUCACACCACGGGAGUUGGGAGUACCCGAAGUAGGUUGCCUAACCGCAAGGAGGGCGCUUCCUAAGGUAAGACCGAUGACUGGGGGAAGUCGUAACAAG
rnacentral:rRNA from 1 species